CACAUUCCAAAGAGUUUUAUUAAUUUCAACAAUUUGUGUUUCAUUUUCAGGUUUAAGUAAAUCUUCAGUAAACUUAAGGUGUUGGUCAUGUAAAGAUAAAUGUGAAAAACCGGUAAAACAAGUAUGCACAAUUAAUGAAACGUUGUGUUAUUUUAUAACAGCCGCAGAGGCCGGACGCGAAUAUAGAGGAUGCACAGUGAAAACAUCAGAUUGUAACAAGAUGAAACUUGACCUAAACGCAACUUACUGUAACAUGUGUCAUGCAAAUUACUGUAAUUCCCCUGCAGGAAACGGUUUAAAGUCAUUUUGGUGGGUCGCUCUAGCCCCAAUCCCACUUUUUAUUUAAAAAUUGAAAUAAAAAUAAAACAAAAUUUCUGUC